rnacentral:ncRNA from 1 species
CCGGAGCCGCCCACCGCGGCCACCCCGGACGAGCGCGUCGUACCCGGAACGACAAGACGGCGCCCC